AUUGAACGCUGGCGGCAGGCCUAACACAUGCAAGUCGAACGAGUGGCGGACGGGUGAGUAAUGUCUGGGAAACUGCCUGCUGGCGGGGGAUAACUACUGGAAACUGUAGCUAAUACCGCAUACCAUCGUUUGUUCCCAGCUGGGAUUAGCUAGUAGGUGGGGUAAAGGCGCACCUAUGCGACGAUCCCUAGCUGGUCUGGGAGGAUGACCGGCCAAACUGGAACUGAGACACGGGCCAGACUCCUACGGGAGGCAGCAGUGGGGAAUAUUGCGCAAUGGGCGCAAGCCUGAUGCAGCAACGCCGCGUGAGUGAUGACGGCCUUCGGGUUGGAAAGCUCUGUUAGCGGGACGACGGUACCGGAAUAGAAAGCCACGGCUAACUACGUGCCAGCAGCCGCGGUAAUAC
rnacentral:rRNA from 1 species